rnacentral:rRNA from 1 species
AGCGGCGGACGGGUGAGUAACGCGUGGGUAACCUGCCUCAUACAGGGGAUAACAGUUGGAAACGGCUGCUAAUACCGCAUAAGCGCACAGUACCGCAUGGUACCGUGUGAAAAACUCCGGUGGUAUGAGAUGGACCCGCGUCUGAUUAGCUAGUUGGUGGGGUAACGGCCUACCAAGGCGACGAUCAGUAGCCGACCUGAGAGGGUGACCGGCCACAUUGGGACUGAGACACGGCCCAA